AUUGAACGCUGGCGGCAUGCUUUACACAUGCAGGUCGAACGGCAGCGCGGGCUUCGGCCUGGCGGCGAGUGGCGAACGGGUGAGUAAUAUAGCGGAACGUACCCAGGAGUGGGGGAUCACGUAGCGAAAGUUACGCUAAUACCGCAUACGUCCUAAGGGAGAAAGCGGGGGAUCGCAAGACUUCGUACUCAUGGAGCGGCCAAUAUCUGAUUAGCUAGUUGGUGGGGUAAAGGCUCACCAAGGCAACGAACAGUAGCUGGUCUGAGCGGACGACCAGCCACACUGGAACUGAGACACGGUCCAGACUCCUACGGGAGGCAGCAGUGGGGAAUUUUGGACAAUGGGGGCAACCCUGAUCCAGCAAUGCCGCGUGAGUGAAGAAGGCCUUCGGGUUAUAAAGCUCUUUUGUCAGGGAAGAAACGACUCCUUCUAUUACAGGGAGUUAAUGACGGUACCUGAAGAAUAAGCACCGGCUAACUACGUGCCAGCAGCCGCAGUAA
rnacentral:rRNA from 1 species